rnacentral:miRNA from 1 species
CUAUUUUCCUUUGAUACCAAG